rnacentral:rRNA from 1 species
GAUGAACGCUAGCUACAGGCUUAACACAUGCAAGUCGAGGGGCAGCAUGAAAGUAGCUUGCUACUUUUGAUGGCGACCGGCGCACGGGUGCGUAACGCGUAUCCAAUCUACCCAUGGCUCAGGGAUAGCCUUUCGAAAGAAAGAUUAAUACCUGAUGGUUUCGCUUUUCCGCAUGGUUUGGCGAAUAAAGAUUUAUCGGCGAUGGAUGAGGAUGCGACUGAUUAGAUAGUUGGUGAGGUAACGGCUCACCAAGUCGACGAUCAGUAGCCGGCCUGAGAGGGUGAACGGCCACAUUGGGACUGAGACACGGCCCAAACUCC